rnacentral:rRNA from 1 species
ACACUGUACGAGUUUGAUCCUGGCUCAGGACGAACGCUGGACGGCAUGCUUAACACAUGCAAGUCGAACGCAGCAUCAGAGCUUGCUUUGAUGGCUGAGUGGCAGACGGGUGAGUAACACGUGGGAACUUACCCUUUAGACUGGGACAACCACUGGAAACGGUGGCUAAUACCGGACACGCCCUGAGGGGGAAAGCAGCAAUGCGCUAAGGGAGAGGCCCGCGGCAGAUUAGGUAGUUGGUGGGGGUAAAGGCCUACCAAGCCUGUGAUCUGUAGCUGGUUUGAGAGGAUGAUCAGCCACACUGGGACUGAGACACGGCCCAGACUCCUACGGGAGGCAGCAGUGGGGAAUAUUGGACAAUGGGGGAAACCCUGAUCCAGCAAUGCCGCGUGAAUGAAGAAGGCCUUAGGGUUGUAAAGUUCUUUUGUCCGUGACGAUAAUGACGGUAGCGGACGAAUAAGCCCUGGCUAACUCUGUG